CCCCCACCCCCACCCCCCUCUCGUCACCGCUUCCUCUCUUCCUCUCUCUCCGAUUGCCGGCGUUUCCAGCCUUCUUCCGCCGUCGCCGGCCACUUUCCAACAGCCUUCUCCCAUCGUCACAUUUGAGGUACUACACCUGAUGGCUGCAAAUUAGCAUUGGUAGAUUUAGUAGAAUAAUGUGAGAACUUAGCUUGUUUGGAUAGUGUCGUAUUACUCUAUCGAACAGUUAAGAUGGAAUCUCGUAGUUGGAUGUAUACAAGAACAAAUGACGGUAGAGGGGGGAUGAGGCAAGAAUUUAUGAACGGUGUCGUUGCUUUUGUUUAAUAUGCAAUGACACUUGAACCUUUUAUAAUAGAAGGCUUGGUUAGGUGUCCUUGUGAGAAAUGUGCAUGUAGGAAUUAUGAGACACCAGAGAUUGUUAGGCUUCAUCUUUAUACCCACGGCUUUCAAUUAAAUUAUACAGUGUGGACUAGUCAUGGAGAAACAGAUACUGGUUUGGGAGAAUUUCAAAACUUUGUUGUUGGUGAAAGCAGUAGGUUGGUGGAACCUGAUGUCCAAAAUUAUAGAAUGUACGACUUGAUUCAGGAUGCUUAUGGGAUGCAUUCCAAUUUUGAAUCCGGUAACCAUGUUGAAGAAGAUCCUAAUGAGGAAGCUAGUCGUUUUUUUGAACAGUUGAAAGAUGCUAGUCGACCUUUGUGUGACGGGAGUCCCCACUCUCAAUUGUCUAUUGCUGUUAGAUUAAUAAGUAUCAAAGCAGAUUGGAAUGUUCCUCAAGGGGCAAUAGAUGUUGUGAUUAGCCUUAUACGUGAAUUAGUUGACCCGAAUCUAGAGAUACCUGUUAACUACUACAAGGCAAAGAGAUUGGUGUCAAAGUUAGGACUCUCGUCCUACAGAAUUGAUUGUUGUGAAAAUGGAUGCAUGUUAUACUAUAAGGAUGACGUAGGUUUAGAAUCUUGUAAGUUUUGUGGUAGAGCUCGUUUUAAGCGGGCUCGUAGCGGGAAGAGAGUUGCUUUUAAGGCGAUGCAUUACUUACCUUUUAUACCAAGGUUAAAGAGGUUGUAUGCAUCAAAUAGCUUUGCUCCUCAUAUGAGAUGGCAUAGUGAGAAUAGAAGGCCGUCUGGUGUUAUGUGUCAACCAUCAGAUGGAGAGGCUUGGAAGCAUUUUGAUAGAACAUAUCCAGAUGAACCACGAAACAUCAGGUUAGGUUUAUGUUCAGAUGGAUUCACUCCACAUUCUGCUUCUGCUGCUCCCUAUUCUUGCUGGCCUGUUUUCUUAACACCGUAUAAUCUUCCACCCGAGUUGUGUAUGACUAGUCCAUAUAUAUUCCUUAAUUUCAUCAUUCCUAGCCCGCGUAAUCCAAAUUUUUUGAUUGAUGUAUACUUGCAACCUUUGAUUGAUGAGUUGAAAUUGUUGUGGGUUGAAGGGGUUGACACGUUUGAUGUAUCGCGUAGGCAGAACUUUAAUUUGCGGGCCACCUUAAUGUGGACGAUUAAUGACUUUCUUGCGUACGGAAUGUUGUCUGGGUGGAUGACAACUGGAAAGUUAGCUUGUCCUUGCUGCAUAAUAUGACCAUAAAAAUUCAUAGUUUGAUUGCCACCGUCAAUUCUUGCCAAUGGAUCAUGAGUUUCGAAGUAUGAAAAAUGCAUUCAGGAAGAACACAAUUGAACGAAACUGUCCACCUUCAAGACUGUCGGGAGAGGAUAUUUGGGAGAGGGUUCAAAACUUUCCGGAGGUUACUGAAGGAGCACCGUACAAGUUCGAUGGGUAUGGGUCAACACAUAACUGGACUAAGCAAAGCAUAUUCUGGGAGUUACCAUAUUGGAAGGAUAAUCUUCUCCGACAUAAUCUUGAUGUCAAGCAUAUUGAAAAAAAUUACUUUGAUAACUUGUUCAACACAGUAAUGGAUGUUAAGGGCAAGACAAAAGACAAUCCAAAGGCUAGAAUGGACGUACAGUAGUAAGCGAAAAAAGUUAUGGUUACAGGACAAACAGAACAGAGUCUUCAAGCCUAAGGCUGGUUAUUCAUUCACAAUGGAGCAAAAGCGAAAGAUUUGUCAGUGGGUCCAGAACUUGAAGAUGCCUGAUAGGUAUGCAUCAAAUUUGGGAAAACGUGUCGAUAUUGAGCAAGGAAAGUUACAUGGGAUAAAAAGUCAUGAUAGUCACGUUUUCAUGGAAACUUUACUCCCCAUUGCAUUUAGUGGCUUGCCUACCCGAAUCUGGAAACCUAUGACAGAAAUUAGUUUGUUCUUCAAAGACUUGUGUUCUAGCACGUUGAGGGCAGACAACCUGGAACGGAUGCAUAAGAAUAUUCCUGUAAUCACAAAUAAUUUAGAGAAGAUUCUACCAAAGGGGUUCUUUGAUGUGAUGGAACAUCUUCCAAUUCACCUUGCAGAGGAAGCUAGACUCGGAGGCCCAAUUCAAUGUCGGUGGAUGUAUCCUUUUGAGAGGACUAUUAGCAAGCCUAAGCGGGGUAUCAUGCAGAGACAUAGAGUGGAGGGCUCAAUUUGCGAAGCAUAUCUUGCUAAGGAAAUAUCUCAUUUCUGUUCUUACUACUUUGGAGAUGAUGUUCCAUGCUUGCGAAACAGGCCCAAUCGGCACUACGACGGAGGUGUUAAUGAUGCUUUCGCGAAGCCGAUAUCUAUCUUCAAUCGACCGGGUACGGGAUCAAAAAAACGUAAAAAAAGAGAAUUGAAUGAUUUGGAGUUUAAGUCUGCGUUGACACAUGUCUUGCUGAAUUGCCCGGAAGUUCAAUCAUAUUAUGAUUACUUUGUGUAGAUUAACGACGAGUCUCAAGUGCACGAACAAUUUGCAACAUGGUUUAAAGAUUACGUGGGCAGCUGCAAAAGUAGCGGAAUGUUGCCAAUUUUUCUACAGAAAACUAACCUCAUGAGGUCGGUUAUUUUAAUUUCAUUUUCCAGAUUUUAAUGAACCGACCUCAUGUGGUCGGUUGUGUUCAUAUCAUUUUGCACAUUUUAAAGAAACCGACCACAUGAGGUCGGUUGUUUUCAUAUCAAUAUACAGAUUUUAAGGAACCCGACUACAUGAGGUCGGUUCAUGAUUGUAAUUAUUUAUAAAUUUAUAGUUAGCGACCUCAUGUGGUCGGUAACAGAAAAAUAAAUAAAUAAAUAAUUUUUUAAAUAUUUCCGACCACAUGAGGUCGGUAACUUGAAAAAGUAAACAAAAACAAAUAUAAUUUAUAAACCCCAUGUGGUCGUUAAUGCUUUUACUGAAAAAGAAAUAAUUUAAUAUACCGACCACAUGAGGUCGGUAUGUUAAUUUUCUUUUUUUUUUUUGGACGAAUCAUGUACCGACCACGUGUGGUCGCUUUUUUCCGACCUCAUGAGGUCGCUAAUUAUUUGCAACCUGUCCAUAUCAGGGCUACUUUUGAGGUCGGUUUUGAGGUCGCAUUUUUUCAGAAAUCGACCUCGUGAGGUCGGAAAUAUCAAUUAUUUUUUGUCGGUUUUGAGCAGUUUUUUAGUAGUGCACUAUGCCAAACAAAGAAUGUUUUAUACCUAAUAGUACCGAAUACAAAUAAAAAAUAAAAUAGUUUCAAGUAAAAUAAUGAAAACGAAAUUGCAACUUUAUAUUUCAAAAGGAAAAAAUGAAAAAGGUUAUAGGCAAAAAACAUAAUAUGAGGGAGAAAAAAAAAACUAAAUUAAAGAUUCUUGUAGAUGAAUGAAAAAACCUUUAGGGUCGAAAGCAUAACAUUAAAGUUUGUCGAUUAGUAUUGACAAAUUGUUAGUUUUUGUUCUGUUUUUUUUGGGAUUUGUUGUUUUCUAAUAAAAAGUUCAAACACAAUAUUUGGAUCAGUGUAAUAACAUUAUUUUGUCAUUUAAAUAAAUGUCCCAUCUAUUUUGACGUUCAUUGCUAUUGUAAUUUUUUUUUUCUUUUUGUAUUGAAUUUAUAAAAUAGUCA